rnacentral:rRNA from 1 species
GUGAAUUUCAAUCCAUCCUAAAUGCUACUGAUCAUGUUUGAUUUCAGAAGCUAAUCAGGGUCUGGACUGGUUAGUACAUGGAUGGGAGUGAUUCUCU